rnacentral:lncRNA from 1 species
CCCGGUCCCCUCCUGAUACCGGUCCUGCUCCCAGCCUUUGGGGACAACCCAAGCAGCCUGGAACCAUACUCCCUCCCUUCAGAAUGGAUGUGAGUACACUCCAGACAGACUCUCCACUUGGCCUGGGCGGAGGUGACUGGCUGGACGGAGGACUCAGGAAACAGGAUUGGGAUGCCUUGAGAAGCACCUGCCCUCCAAGACCUCAGCCAAGGAGCACAGGACUGUGCCUGGCCUCAAAAUCAAAGGUUCUGGAACACGGUGCCUCGGAAUUCCCACAAGUCUCUGGUGUGUGAGAUAACCAUGCUUUUUGCCCCUGAGGGGCUCACUGGACAGUCAGAGAGACAAUGUGAUCCAGUAUCCACGUGGCAAGGGGGCAGGUGGGUGAGAAGGGCUGUGGGUGGCUGACAAGAGCUAAGGCCUUGGAGGCAGGUGACAGAUUUGGGCAGCAGGCCCCCACCCUUUUGGAGGCUUGGAUUUAAUUUUCAAGUAACCCCCGCCCAUUUCCAUCCUGCACCUGGCUUGUUUCCUUCCGCACCUGAUCCCAUUCUAUAAUUACACACUCACUCGUUUAUUAUCUAAACCCUCCUCUGAGAAGGAAAACUCGAGAGGGAAAGCCUGUUGCCGCCUCAUCUGCCAUUUCUACCCAGAGCCUGACCGAGGCCCGUGCAAUGAAAGUGCUGGAAAAGUCCUGUCGCCUGCAUAAAGCAGGUAAGUGAAAAAUCCAAGUCUUGUUUCAGGAUGGUGGAGUUGCAGGGCAGACUCAGAGGUGGGCAAAGAGGUUGAACAUUUCGUCUUUUGAAAACCCAGGCCAUUUUUUUCUUUUCGCUUUCUAAUCAGUGGUUUCUUGCCCUUCACCGGAGCCUGGGACGCCGAGCA